UUUUUCUACUUAGUUGUAACUGCAUUCAUCGUGUACAGGUGGAGAGCUAAAGGGAAUCAAACAGCAUGUGGUGAAGAUAAUGGUCUUGAUGGUGAUGUUGAUGAUGAAGUGACGCAUCACACUGUGGCCACUUCCUCCUUCCUCUGAACUUCCUCCUUCAUAUUAGACGCCAUGCAGUCAUGACAUCUCUGCAUUGGUAGCUUCAUGCUCCUGACGAUGCUUCUGUCCACACUCACAUGUCAGUGGUUGGUCAACCUCUCCACAUCUAGUCUGUGGUCUGUAAUCCACAUUUGUCACUGGCUGUAUUCACAAAGGUGAAUGUGUUGUCUACACAUUCGUCGUGCUACAACCAGUUUUGCAUCUCUCCUGGUUUUCUGUCUUGUGUCAAGCUACACUGGCUUGUGCGUGGUACAUUGUUAUGAAGACAACAUGCAUUAGUCCUGCCUAUUCAGAAGCCAUCAGGUCUUUGAUAAGCUCAAUAUGACAGUGUGUAAACAUGUGAAACCCUGCUACCUGAUUGCAUCAGUGCUCUGCCAUUCUUCACACUGUAGGUGUUUGUUGUGUAAAACAAGAGAUGUGGUGUGAUGUUCUUCUCACAGAGUACUCAUUUGCAUAAGUAUAUGUGUAAAUACUGCUUCAGAUGCAGUAUUUUUACUUUUACUGUCACAUUUAUUCAAAACUGACAGUAUGACACCAAAUGAUGCCCGUGCUCAACAGACUGUAUUCAUAUGCAAUGGAAAACAUAGUUAAGUCUAUCAUUUGUUACUUGUUGGUUUUACUUUAUUGGGUAAAUAUAAUUGUAAUCCUACACAAUUAAACACUUAAUUUCAAAGCAGUUAUUUUUGUUUUUACUUUUACAACGGGUUGUUUACGAUAGAUGAGGGAAUA